AUUGAACGCUGGCGGUAUGCUUAACACAUGCAAGUCGCACGAGUGGCGGACGGGUGAGUAAUGCAUAGGAAUCUACCUUUUAGUCUAGCAUAACUACCCGAAAGGGUAGCUAAUACUGGAUGCUAAGAGAUGAGCCUAUGUGGGAUUAGCUAGUUGGUGGGGUAAUGGCUCACCAAGGCGACGAGCUCUAGCUGGUUUGCGAGGAUGACCCGCGACCCGGGGACUUAGACCCGGCCCAGAUCCCGACGGGUGGCAGACGUGGGGAAUAUUGGACAAUGGGCGAAAGCCUGAUCCAGCAAUACCGCGUGUGUGAAGAAGGCCCUAGGGUUGUAAAGCACUUUUGUUAGGGAGAUGUUACCUAAAGAAUAAGCACCGGCUAACUCCGUGCCAGCAGCCGCGGUAAUA
rnacentral:rRNA from 1 species